GACUUCGUGUAUGUUUGAUUUCUUUUAGACCCAACCAAGAARAGAAUCUGAAUGGUCAGACUCUAUGUCAUGUCUUAUAAAGAAACUGGAACAACUGAAUUUAGAUAUUGAAGAAGCUCUGAGUGCUGGCUCUUCUCCCUCCAGUACUCCUUCUGCCAAAAGGCACAAGCAACGGUGCCCUGUUCAAGUGGAGACUGGCUUUUAUGGAGCUCAUCAAGGAAAGGGAUCUUGGAAAAAUAGAAGAGCAGGCUACCAGGAUCUAGAUUGUUCAUCUUGCCCAGUGUCCACUGGAGCACGACCAAAAACUGAUGUGCUGCUUCAGAAGCUAUGCAAAGAAAAAG
rnacentral:lncRNA from 1 species